UGAGGGAAGUAGUGCAAUAACUUCUGACUCUGAUAUCACCGACUGUACAGAGAAUGUGAGUCAAUUUAUAUAUUUAGUUCUGGGUAGAAUAGUUAUUUUUGGUUUUAGUAGAAACAUGCAUAUUGCAAUUUCUUCCAUACUGUUCUUGGUAAGUUUCAUCACCUCUAACACCCACAAUAUAGUUGUAAAUGACUUAAGAAAAAUGUUUGGAAUGGACAGGUGCAAUAGAUUUUUUUAAAAUUAUGUUUCAUUAAAGCUAAGAUCUGUUAAAAAAUACAUUUUUUAAGAUUACAUUUAAUUAUUUUGAUUUAACUAUGUUCAGUAUAUAUAUCUCUACAGCUUCUACCAUGAUAACAAUGAUAUGGAAAUAAUAUAGAUUAACCAAAAUGACAAAUCAUUUUUAUUAAUUAAAAUCACCAAUAAAAUUAUAAAAUUAAAAGUGACAUUAUGUUUCUACUCCAACCUCUCUUAUUGCAAACAUUUAAAGAAACAAAAUCACUUUUGGAAAUUGGACAGACUAUUUCCAACAGGAAGAGUUGCUGAAAGUGCCAAGGAAACUAAAUCCAAAUCAGUGUAAUUUGUUCUUUAAUGAUGCUUUUAAGAUAUCGUCUUGAGAGUGAAAUGUCAAAAGCUAUUUCUCCUUGGAUAAUUGUUAUUGCUAAGUGGUUAAUUAGCAGAUUCCAGGAUUAUCUAAUCAGAAGUUCGGAUGUCAGACACAAUCGAGGAAACAUUAAAACACUUAAUGAAUCUGAUUUAGUGGCCUUUCUAUAUAAGUAAUAAGAUGAAAAAUUGGUUGUUUAGUAUCAGUUACACCUAAUAGUCAUAAAUAGAUGGAGAGUAAUGGUGAAGAGACUGCCGCCACUACUACUACUACUACUCCCUUCUAAGAAAAAAUGACAAGAUGAGUAACGGUAUUGCUUUCAUUUUUGCACUUCCAUUCUGUUUGCUUUUACCCAUCCGUAUCGUUCAUUAACUCGUAUAAAGAAAAAAUCUGCAUAAAAUAAUUUUUAAAAGUUUCUUUCAAAAGAUGGCGCCAUAUGUAGAUUUUUUUUACUCUUCUUAAGUAUAAUAAUUUUUGAAUAUUACUAUGUAUCAGGUUUAUAUGCAAACUGAUUUAAGCGAAUGGAGAGAAGUUCUCUUUAUGUCGGAACCAAGAUACUUUUAGAGGAACAAGCUUGGUAAUUGCUCUUUAUCGUUUAACACCUCCCUUAAAAAAAGAGAAAAAAUCGAUAAACUCUCGCAUAUCUCACGUUGUUGUUAUUUUAACAGGAAUUUAUACAUUAAGCAAAAGAAAAUUUUAAAUAUUUUAAAAGUUUUUCUAGUUUCGAUGAUGGAUUUUAUUUUAAAAUUCGAGUUUGUUUUUCCGAAGCGGGAAGCGUUACCAGUCGAUUAGAAGCAAUAAAAGGAAAAAUUAAGCGAUAUACAAUAACAAAACUGAGCAAAAAAACGGAGAAAAAUGAUUUUUAAUCGCUGUAAAAAAAAGUCUUAAAAGAGAUUUAAAAAGGUUUUGGUGACGUCACAUUAAAGAAGGGGCCCCAUUCUAGCAUUAAAUUCCCAUUUGAUGUUCCAAGUAAAUAGAAACGUCAUGAUUCGACGUUAGAUGUCAUUUCUGUGGUCGAAUCUGAUUGAUUUGGUGGAUCUGGUGACAGAAUUAUGUCGCCAUCUUCUCUUCGGAGUUAAUCAAAAACCAAAUAAGUGAUUCUUCAGACUGGAUAAACCUUUUCCUUUUACGUCAGAAAAAUAAUGGGAAAUUUAAUGAUAGAUUUAAAGAUUAAAAAAUUCUAUAUAAUAAUAAAUCUUUAAAACUCCAUCAUGAUAUAUACUAUGUUACAAAAGUCAUCUGUAUUUUUUACUUAUUAGGCAAAAUAAUUAUUUAUAUUAAUAUUAACGUUGUUUCAAACAAAGUUGGAAUUCUAAUAUUUUAAUUCAAAAGUAAAUUCCCUGAAAAAAAAACAGACACAAAUUAAUUAACGUUAAAAACCAUUAUAAAAUAAUAUAAUAAAUCUGAUUAAAAUAUCAAAUGUUUGUUUCUCCCGCUAACGAACGAAUACAGAGGGAAAGAGGAGAUAGCAGGGGACAGGCGUUUAGAAAAUGUAAGGUGGAUUUGUGCAAACCAGAUAUGGCAGUUGGCACAAUCGCUAAGGUGGAAGUGGGCGGAUUUACUACCAGGUUUAAAUUUUCUCGUCCGGGAUUCCGAAAUCCUCCCUCUUUGCUCGAGUAUUUUUAUCGCGAUGGAAGUAACCCGAAGAUUUUGUGACUCAGUCGCUCUUAAUAUUUCUACUCGCUGCUGCCGUUGGGAAAAAAUGAGCUUUUCCACAUAUUCGCUUUGGUCCGAGAUGCGGAGAAUCGAAACUUUCACUGCUUUAAAUAUCAAUUUGAAGAAGUUAUCUAGGUUUAUCCGACAGCUUGGGAUAGAUGAGGCUUUAGCAGAUAUGGUUUCCUUCACGCAAAUAAACGCCUUAUUGCUUCUCAGAUCGAAAUAUAUACGAAACAAACAGUCGAGGAGAAAAGGGAAGCGAGGAUUACUCGGGGAUUUACAGUGUCUGGAGGCUUUCUUAAUAGAUCUUUUUCAGCCAAUUUUUUUUUGCCUUCUAUAAAAUGCAGGGUCAAUGGAACAGAAGGAAUGAUGGAAAGCGACUGAGCGUUAAGAAAAGCAACAGCUUGUUUCUGAAAUCCAACUUUUUCUGUUUUGCUCUUUUUUUUCGCCUUUCCUCCUCUUACUUCUGUCUGCCAACGAAUUACAAGUUAUAGUUUUUAUGCUUUUCUUUACGGUUGAAGUAAGAGUUUUAGUUAUCGGGAAAUAUCAAAAACUUACCGAUUUUAUAUCGAGAUAAGCAUUUUUUCCUGACCUUAAACAGAAAGCGGGGAAAGUGAUGGUGAAUCUACAUAAAAUCGAGCAAACAUAUAAAUUAUAACAGGUAUGUUUAUAUAUUUAAAUUUGGCAUCUUCCAUAUUAUCCCAGCUAAAAUUUAUUAAAAGUUGCAACUUUACAUAAACAUUCUCACUUUCAUAAACAUAAAAAUUGAGAAAUUUUCGUUCAAAAUAUUCACGGAU
rnacentral:lncRNA from 1 species